GUGCAAAAUCACAGGGUACUAAC
rnacentral:miRNA from 1 species